ensembl:lncRNA
GUCGAUCAGAAAAGUUUUCCAAGCUCAUCAUGUAAAACGUAUCCGCUGAUCUUCUCUCUCUUUUUGUAACCUGUAUGGUCAAACUCUCCUGUAGCACCUCAAACAUCCCAGUUGCCUGCUCCCCCCUUCUAGAUCAGUUUCAACCACACAGUCUGAAGCGGGAGACACGUCAAUUUCAACAGCGUUCUCUGGACUGGCAGCAUCAACCCCUCCCAGCUUCACUUUGCCUGCGACCCCUGCAAAUCAAGAAUCGCGACCUCCCUUUCCACAGGGGGCCUGGCUCAUCCCGGACAUACCAGCUAACGAGGAUCUGAUUCAUCCAUGUUCCCUGGCAGUCUCACUAAGCACCCAAUGGGAAGUCGAUGAUUACGAUGAACUGUCCCAAUUUGCCCUGGAACCACACAGGUUUAAUUUGGUACACUAGCAGGUUUCCCCGUUUUCCCCACCACAGUAUAAGGUAAGAAUCUCCACUUAUUCUGCAACUAGUGCUUACCCAUGACACCAAAACUCCUCUAUAGUACACGGUCUCCUUUCUUCAGAAUCUGUUCGACUAAUUUCUCAUGUGCUCUCUUGUUCCAUCCAUGACUCUUCUCAGCACCUUCUUUAGCUAACUAAAGAAGCCCUGCUUAGGUGUCCUCUCAAUUUUGUGAGGAACCGUUGAUACCGCACUUCCUCACCCCAAAACACAGAUCUAUAGGCAGACGAGCUUCCCUGUCAGACAUCAGCAAAACAAGGGGAGUAGCCAGUCGCCUCAUUUCACAUGCAGUUAUAGGCAUGUACGAGUUGACUGAUCUUCUGACCGUUUCUGCUUCUGCCCAGGAUCCAAUGCUCCCAAUGUGGACAGCAGAGUCCUGUUGAAUUUCUCUGGUUGGAAAUCCCCCUGGGGGGUGGCAGGGUGUCGUGGGAGACUUUCUGAUCCCCCAACAUUCUUAGGAGAUUGUGGAUCAGCUUUGACUCACAGUCAUAUCGCUGAUCAGAGUGAAUGUGAGCAGGGGAGUCCAUAGUGUACAAAGUUCUUCUCAAACAGUACUAUGAGGACGGCAGAGGCCUUCUUAUCCUUUGUCGGAAAAGCCCGAGCGUAGUGAGCGAAAUGGUCAGUCACAACAAGCAUGUUCUCAAAUCCCUGUGAAUCUUGCUCGAGUGAUAGGAAGUCAAUGCAUACCAAAUCAAGUGGGCCUUCACUCAAUUUUGUUCGACGGAGCAGCUCUCUGAGGACGAGUCUUGCGAGUGUAGCCCUGUAAAUAUAUUGCACAAUAUAUUGCACGAUUGGCGGAUUUGGCAUAAAUUGGGGAAGGUGAUUUUGUGAUAGAGAGAAAUUAUUUUUAUUUUUUCCUGGUUUCUUGGAGUUGAUUGACUGGGUCGAUCAUCCAGUGGGAUGAGAGCACAACUGGAAGUCCCGCCUUCCCACGUGGCAGUUCUGUGAGGAGCGCCACUGAUUCAGUCUUGUAACUGAACGUCGUGAAAAGAGCGCACACGCGAAACUUUUUGACUGAGUGGGAUAAAAUUUAAGAAAUUGAGAAAAUCACUUCACUGCUGUUUCCGUUGCACACGGAUUUGGUCAGUUUUAAUUUUUUUUUGGAGCAACAACGAAUUUCUACGCGAAGGCGUAGAUGGCGAGCCACCCAAAGAACUGAGCCUUGGAUUUGGAAGACUAAGGACUCGAUUUCCAACCUUCAAAUGAAGAGUUUGGCAAGUUUUGUGUUAUAACGAACACUAUCACUACUUGAUGGACACGAUUCCCCCUGUUGGAACUAAUUUAAACUUCGGUGACUGAACUGCUGUGUUGAAACUGGAAGCACUGAGAAAUUAAUAUUUCAACUGUAAAUACUGAUUGUUUUACUAGUGUGUUAAAUUUUAAUUGUUAAACAAGUGUUAGCUUGGGUAUGCCUAAUAGUUAUAAUAUUGGGGUGCACCCUUAGUUGCUACAAUUUGUAUGGUGUGUAUUGUGUGUAAGCAAAUUAUUAUUAUUUUUUUUUCCCCUUGUUGCUUUAAGUUAUCAGAGUUCAGUUUUAUGUUAUUUAAGGUAAUGUUUUACUGAAAAUAAUGUACAUGAGGAAUAAGAAAAAUAUAGUUUUUGGUAAAGUUUAAUAGUUAAUUUUAAUAAUUGCCAAAUCCAGUGGUCCUUUAUUUACACCUCCACGGACGAACCUACUGGCCUUAGAACAAAACAUUACACCACGUGUUGCACGUGUGUUACACGAGCAAUGCAUCUGCCACAAUUCCCGACAUACUCCUCAAUAUCUGCACCCAUCUUCGGCCAAUAAAACCGGUCCUCGAUGAGUUUUGAUGACUUCU